UCAUCUCCGGGGGUAGAGCACUGUUUCGGCAAGGGGGUCAUCCCGACUUACCAACCCGAUGCAAACUGCGAAUACCGGAGAAUGUUAUCACGGGAGACACACGGCGGGUGCUAACGUCCGUCGUGAAGAGGGAAACAACCCAGACCGCCAGCUAAGGUCCCAAAGUCAUGGUUAAGUGGGAAACGAUGUGGGAAGGCCCAGACAGCCAGGAUGUUGGCUUAGAAGCAGCCAUCAUUUAAAGAAAGCGUAAUAGCUCACUGGUCGAGUCGGCCUGCGCGGAAGAUGUAACGGGGCUAAACCAUGCACCGAAGCUGCGGCAGCGACGCUUAUGCGUUGUUGGGUAGGGGAGCGUUCUGUAAGCCUGUGAAGGUGUGCUGUGAGGCAUGCUGGAGGUAUCAGAAGUGCGAAUGCUGACAUAAGUAACGAUAAAGCGGGUGAAAAGCCCGCUCGCCGGAAGACCAAGGGUUCCUGUCCAACGUUAAUCGGGGCAGGGUGAGUCGACCCCUAAGGCGAGGCCGAAAGGCGUAGUCGAUGGGAAACAGGUUAAUAUUCCUGUACUUGGUGUUACUGCGAAGGGGGGACGGAGAAGGCUAUGUUGGCCGGGCGACGGUUGUCCCGGUUUAAGCGUGUAGGCUGGUUUUCCAGGCAAAUCCGGAAAAUCAAGGCUGAGGCGUGAUGACGAGGCACUACGGUGCUGAAGCAACAAAUGCCCUGCUUCCAGGAAAAGCCUCUAAGCAUCAGGUAACAUCAAAUCGUACCCCAAACCGACACAGGUGGUCAGGUAGAGAAUACCAAGGCGCUUGAGAGAACUCGGGUGAAGGAACUAGGCAAAAUGGUGCCGUAACUUCGGGAGAAGGCACGCUGAUAUGUAGGUGAAGCGACUUGCUCGUGGAGCUGAAAUCAGUCGAAGAUACCAGCUGGCUGCAACUGUUUAUUAAAAACACAGCACUGUGCAAACACGAAAGUGGACGUAUACGGUGUGACGCCUGCCCGGUGCCGGAAGGUUAAUUGAUGGGGUCAGCGCAAGCGAAGCUCUUGAUCGAAGCCCCGGUAAACGGCGGCCGUAACUAUAACGGUCCUAAGGUAGCGAAAUUCCUUGUCGGGUAAGUUCCGACCUGCACGAAUGGCGUAAUGAUGGCCAGGCUGUCUCCACCCGAGACUCAGUGAAAUUGAACUCGCUGUGAAGAUGCAGUGUACCCGCGGCAAGACGGAAAGACCCCGUGAACCUUUACUAUAGCUUGACACUGAACAUUGAGCCUUGAUGUGUAGGAUAGGUGGGAGGCUUAGAAGUGUGGACGCCAGUCUGCAUGGAGCCGACCUUGAAAUACCACCCUUUAAUGUUUGAUGUUCUAACGUUGACCCGUAAUCCGGGUUGCGGACAGUGUCUGGUGGGUAGUUUGACUGGGGCGGUCUCCUCCUAAAGAGUAACGGAGGAGCACGAAGGUUGGCUAAUCCUGGUCGGACAUCAGGAGGUUAGUGCAAUGGCAUAAGCCAGCUUGACUGCGAGCGUGACGGCGCGAGCAGGUGCGAAAGCAGGUCAUAGUGAUCCGGUGGUUCUGAAUGGAAGGGCCAUCGCUCAACGGAUAAAAGGUACUCCGGGGAUAACAGGCUGAUACCGCCCAAGAGUUCAUAUCGACGGCGGUGUUUGGCACCUCGAUGUCGGCUCAUCACAUCCUGGGGCUGAAGUAGGUCCCAAGGGUAUGGCUGUUCGCCAUUUAAAGUGGUACGCGAGCUGGGUUUAGAACGUCGUGAGACAGUUCGGUCCCUAUCUGCCGUGGGCGCUGGAGAACUGAGGGGGGCUGCUCCUAGUACGAGAGGACCGGAGUGGACGCAUCACUGGUGUUCGGGUUGUCAUGCCAAUGGCACUGCCCGGUAGCUAAAUGCGGAAGAGAUAAGUGCUGAAAGCAUCUAAGCACGAAACUUGCCCCGAGAUGAGUUCUCCCUGACCCCUUAAGAGUCCUGAAGGAACGUUGAAGACGACGACGUUGAUAGGCCGGGUGUGUAAGCGCAGCGAUGCGUUGAGCUAACCGGUACUAAUGAACCGUGAGGCUUAACCUU
rnacentral:rRNA from 2 species